rnacentral:lncRNA from 1 species
CAAGAUUCUGACAAGCAGCCACUUAUAUCAGAUUAAACUUGUAGAACUUAAUUGUUCCUGCACCUCCUGAUACUUCAACACUGGGGUGAAACCUUUCUAUUGGGUUCUCAAAGAAUCAGGAUGUCUUCAGCUGAUGUAAUCCUGCCCUUGAGCCUGACAGCAUCACAGGACCAUUGAG